rnacentral:lncRNA from 7 species
AAAUCCAAAGCAAGUCCUAAUGUGUAUUCGGCUACAAGCCUGCAACAACUAUGUUUUAGAAAAGGUGGAGUUUCAAAGAAACAACUAUGUUUUAGAAAAGGUGGAGUUUCAAAAAAAGUAUUGACCAUACAUCAUGCAUAUCAAUUGGCCGCUCACAAUUUGCAGAGGGAUGACAACAGAUUCAUUUUUUUGAUUUUUCAAUAUAUAUUUCCAAUUUUUUCUGAUCAAUACCCUCGGUAACGAUAUUUUUAGAAAACAAAAUGGGUUACCGAAAUCAGUAUCUUUUACCGAUCAUUUCCUUUGAUUAAUCAAAAUUUACUGGAUUUAGAUUUCAGAAUUUUCCAAAAAUGAAAACAUGGCUCAAGGCCCAAUAGCCCUCAGUCCGGUCCAGGCUAC